rnacentral:misc_RNA from 1 species
UUGACUGCUUGCGCAGGUACUCAGAGUAGCCCAGAUACGACAUGGUUUGGGGUCCUGCGGCGGGCGCCCCCCGGAGGGGGCAGAGGCUCCGCCCUGGAGCCGCCCGCCGAGGCAACGUAGUGGUAUGUUCGCGAUGGUUUGGAGCCUUGUGACUCGGCAAUGAUCCCUCCGCUGGUUCACCAACGGAGA